rnacentral:tRNA from 1 species
GGUUGUGGCUCAGUGGUAAAGCGCUCACCUAGCACAUGUGAGGCCCUGGGUUUAAUCCUCAGCACCA